rnacentral:tRNA from 1 species
GAGGGGAGGUCUAACCAACAAGAACUGCUAACUCUUGCACCCGAGUCUAAAACCCCGGUCCCCUUA